rnacentral:rRNA from 1 species
UUGGCGACCGGCGCACGGGUGCGUAACGCGUAUGUAACCUACCUAUAACAGGGGCAUAACACUGAGAAAUUGGUACUAAUUCCCCAUAAUAUUCGGAGAGGCAUCUCUCCGGGUUGAAAACUCCGGUGGUUAUAGAUGGACAUGCGUUGUAUUAGCUAGUUGGUGAGGUAACGGCUCACCAAGGCAACGAUACAUAGGGGGACUGAGAGGUUAACCCCCCCACACUGGUACUGAGACACGGACCAGACUCCUACGGGAGGCAGCAUG